AUCAUGGCUCAGAUUGAACGCUGGCGGCAUGCCUUACACAUGCAAGUCGAGCGGCAGCNCGGGGGCAACCCUGGCGGCGAGCGGCGAACGGGUGAGUAAUGCAUCGGAACGUGUCCUUUUGUGGGGGAUAACCAGUCGAAAGACUGGCUAAUACCGCAUGAGCUCGCAAGAGGAAAGCAGGGGACCCGCAAGGGCCUUGCGCGAGAGGAGCGGCCGAUGCCCGAUUAGCUAGUUGGUGGGGUAAUAGCCCACCAAGGCGACGAUCGGUAGCUGGUAUGAGAGUACGACCAGCCACACUGGGACUGAGACACGGCCCAGACUCCUACGGGAGGCAGCAGUGGGGAAUUUUGGACAAUGGGGGCAACCCUGAUCCAGCCAUGCCGCGUGUGUGAAGAAGGCCUUCGGGUUGUAAAGCACUUUCGGCCGGAACGAAAUCGCGCGGGCGAAUAUCCCGCGUGGAUGACGGUACCGGAAGAAGAAGCACCGGCUAACUACGUGCCAGCCGCCGCGGUAAUUC
rnacentral:rRNA from 1 species